GCCACCUUAGCUCAGCGGUAGAGCGGUGCUUUCGUAAAGCACAGGUCGUGGGUUCAAAUCCCACAGGUGGCU
rnacentral:tRNA from 2 species